CAGCAGCCGCCACGGUAAUACGAAGGGUGCAAGCGUUAAUCGGAAUUACUGGGCGUAAAGCGUGCGUAGGCGGUGAGUUAAGUCUGCUGUGAAAUCCCCGGGCUCAACCUGGGAAUGGCAGUGGAUACUGGCUCGCUAGAGUGUGUCAGAGGAUGGUGGAAUUCCCGGUGUAGCGGUGAAAUGCGUAGAGAUCGGGAGGAACAUCAGUGGCGAAGGCGGCCAUCUGGGACAACACUGACGCUGAGGCACGAAAGCGUGGGGAGCAAACAGGAUUAGAUACCCCCGUAGUCCCUGUCUCUUAUAC
rnacentral:rRNA from 1 species